GAUGAACGCUGGCGGCGUGCCUAAUACAUGCAAGUCGAGCGAACGGACGAGAAGCUUGCUUCUCUGAUGUUAGCGGCGGACGGGUGAGUAACACGUGGAUAACCUACCUAUAAGACUGGGAUAACUUCGGGAAACCGGAGCUAAUACCGGAUAAUAUUUUGAACCGCAUGGUUCAAAAGUGAAAGACGGUCUUGCUGUCACUUAUAGAUGGAUCCGCGCUGCAUUAGCUAGUUGGUAAGGUAACGGCUUACCAAGGCAACGAUGCAUAGCCGACCUGAGAGGGUGAUCGGCCACACUGGAACUGAGACACGGUCCAGACUCCUACGGGAGGCAGCAGUAGGGAAUCUUCCGCAAUGGGCGAAAGCCUGACGGAGCAACGCCGCGUGAGUGAUGAAGGUCUUCGGAUCGUAAAACUCUGUUAUUAGGGAAGAACAUAUGUGUAAGUAACUGUGCACAUCUUGACGGUACCUAAUCAGAAAGCCACGGCUAACUACGUGCCAGCAGCCGCGGUAAUACGUAGGUGGCAAGCGUUAUCCGGAAUUAUUGGGCGUAAAGCGCGCGUAGGCGGUUUUUUAAGUCUGAUGUGAAAGCCCACGGCUCAACCGUGGAGGGUCAUUGGAAACUGGAAAACUUGAGUGCAGAAGAGGAAAGUGGAAUUCCAUGUGUAGCGGUGAAAUGCGCAGAGAUAUGGAGGAACACCAGUGGCGAAGGCGACUUUCUGGUCUGUAACUGACGCUGAUGUGCGAAAGCGUGGGGAUCAAACAGGAUUAGAUACCCUGGUAGUCCACGCCGUAAACGAUGAGUGCUAAGUGUUAGGGGGUUUCCGCCCCUUAGUGCUGCAGCUAACGCAUUAAGCACUCCGCCUGGGGAGUACGACCGCAAGGUUGAAACUCAAAGGAAUUGACGGGGACCCGCACAAGCGGUGGAGCAUGUGGUUUAAUUCGAAGCAACGCGAAGAACCUUACCAAAUCUUGACAUCCUUUGACAACUCUAGAGAUAGAGCUUUCCCCUUCGGGGGACAAAGUGACAGGUGGUGCAUGGUUGUCGUCAGCUCGUGUCGUGAGAUGUUGGGUUAAGUCCCGCAACGAGCGCAACCCUUAAGCUUAGUUGCCAUCAUUAAGUUGGGCACUCUAAGUUGACUGCCGGUGACAAACCGGAGGAAGGUGGGGAUGACGUCAAAUCAUCAUGCCCCUUAUGAUUUGGGCUACGCACGUGCUACAAUGGACAAUACAAAGGGCAGCGAAACCGCGAGGUCAAGCAAAUCCCAUAAAGUUGUUCUCAGUUCGGAUUGUAGUCUGCAACUCGACUACAUGAAGCUGGAAUCGCUAGUAAUCGUAGACCAGCAUGCUACGGUGAAUACGUUCCCGGGUCU
rnacentral:rRNA from 1 species